rnacentral:rRNA from 1 species
GUAGCUGGUCUGAGAGGACGACCAGCCACACUGGGACUGAGACACGGCCCAGACUCCUACGGGAGGCAGCAGUGGGGAAUUUUUCGCAAUGGGGGCAACCCUGACGAAGCAAUGCGCGUGGAUGAAGAAGGCCUUCGGGUUGUAAAGUCCUUUCGUGGGGGACGAAAAGGUGGUUCCUAAUACGAGCUGCUGUUGACGUGAACCCAAGAAGAAGCACCGGCUAACUCCGUGCCAGCAGCCGCGGUAAUACGGGGGGUGCAAGCGUUAAUCGGAAUCACUGGGCGUAAAGGGUGCGUAGGCGGUACGUUAGGUCUGUCGUGAAAUCCCCGGGCUCAACCUGGGAAUGGCGGUAGAAACCGGCGAACUAGAGUAUGGGAGAGGGUGGUGGAAUUCCAGGUGUAGCGGUGAAA